rnacentral:rRNA from 1 species
GACGAACGCUGGCGGCGUGCUUAACACAUGCAAGUCGAACGGAAAGGCCCUGCUUUUUUGGGGUGCUCGAGUGGCGAACGGGUGAGUAACACGUGAGUAACCUGCCCUUGACUUUGGGAUAACUUCAGGAAACUGGGGCUAAUACCGGAUAGGAGCUCCUGCUGCAUGGUGGGGGUUGGAAAGUUUCGGCGGUUGGGGAUGGACUCGCGGCUUAUCAGCUUGUUGGUGGGGUAGUGGCUUACCAAGGCUUUGACGGGUAGCCGGCCUGAGAGGGUGACCGGCCACAUUGGGACUGAGAUACGGCCCAGAGUCCUACGGGAGGCAGCAGUGGGGAAUAUUGCACAAUGGGCGGAAGCGUGAUGCAGCAACGCCGCGUGCGGGAUGACGGCCUUCGGGGUGUAAACCGCUUUAGCCUGUGACGAAGCGUGAGUGACGGUAAUGGGUAAAGAAGCACCGGCUAACUACGUG